GAUCCGGGGACCCGCCCCCAGAAUUGUGGCCUCGUCCUCUGAUUGGUUGGAGAACAAGCACAUCCGGGGCCUUCUUCCUGUUCCGCCUCUUGCUUGUUAUUGGUCGUUAGAUGUUUUGGUCAGCUAUGGAGCAUGCGUAUUGGGAGGGAUAUCCGGAAUGAAAUGGUCCUCCAUGAGAGCCACAAGCGGGCAUUCAACAACUUGAAAACUGGAUUGAAAAUGAGAGACAGAGCAGCCACUCCAGAAGCUUCCAAAAUCACGCUGCACCUUCUUGAACUGCUGCGAUCCAUGUGGUGACGUAGCUCCCAUGUUGCAAUUUGGACGACCAGAGCAGCACACAGUCCGACCGAAGAGGACUAGCCAACAUAACUUCCCAAGUCCUGUACUCAGACCUGAGCAAUGAAGACAAGUGUGCUAAACGCCUUCUUAACCACCCUGUCUACCUGUGAUGCAAAUUUCAAAGAAUGAUGUACCUGAAACCCGAGGUUUUUUUCUGUUCUGCAACACUACCGAGAGCCCAACCAUUAAUUGUGACAUGGACUUUGCUGGCUUGGCCAGAAUUUAUUGCCCAUCUGUGAUUGCACAGAGGGCUAUCAAGUGUCAGCUGCAUUGCUGUACGGCUGGAGGCACUCACAGACCAAACCAGAGCCAGGAGCGGGGACAAAAGAUGGCUGUAAAAACGCAGUAAUUAGGACUGCAGAAGGGCCACCCAGUGAUCAACGGAAAAGUGGCAGAAACAGAUUACAAAAUAGAGUGAAGAUGCGGUUAUGGCGCCUAGAAAUUUGAAGAAUAUAAACAAGUUUCUUUUAAUGACAUGGUAAAUUUGUGAAGAGAUUGAAUUCCACAGAUGAGAGUGAAAUUCAAAUUGAUGCUGUCUCACUAAGUAAAGAAAAUUAGUGAUGCAGAGUGUUUAGAGAAGAGGCAGUAAAGAUUUAUCCAUGAGUUAAAUACUGAUUCAAAACUCACUGGCCACAUCUGAGUGCUGGAGUGUGUAACUGGAACUGCAAUUCAGAGAGACUGUUUGUUUGAUUUCUCAGGUCAAGUGAGAGAGCCGCUGUUCCCAAUCUGUCAGCUGUCACAGAACUGUAGUAACGUUAGAGUUUAUUUUAAAGAACUUACAAUAAGUAGUAGAAAUUAAUAUCAUUUCUAAUCUUAUGAAUUUGGGUUAACAGCGAAAAUAAAGCCCAACCAAAUUUGGAAGAGCCCUCAGUGAUAACGGAGCAUUGAGGUUAUUCGUAAUUAAUGUGGUGCAGCUGGUAAAUGUUUGGGAAGGAGUACAAAACUGUCAGGAUUGAAAUGUGAUUUAACAACAGGUAUUCUAAAGGCAAAUAAUAAAGGAAACAGUUAAACAUCAACAGACUGUGGGAGCACCAAGUUCUGUAGAGCCAUUAACCAUGCGUUUACUGGACUGGAUGUAUCGCUUAGGCAAAUAUGGCUAACAAUUACAUUAUAACAUUGCGUGUCAUUGCUGUAAUGUGAAAUGCAUAAAAAUGUUACACUUGGUUGGGUGGAGUGAGACAGCACCAGAAAAUCUCCCACAAUGAAUUGCUAAGGAGCUCCGCAUAAAGGUUGCUCAUGCUGCUGAACACAGAACA